AUAGGGGACCUCGAGUGCCAGGUUACAAAUCUGGCUGUCGUGAUGCCUAAAAAGCAUUGCAUAGCAAGGGCCGGGCAAGACCGGUGCCAGCCGCCGCGGUAACACCGGCGGCUCGAGUGGUAACCGUUAUUAUUGGGUCUAAAGGGUCUGUAGCCGGCCGGGUAAGUCUCUUGGGAAAUCUGGCAGCUUAACUGUCAGGCUUUCAGGAGAUACUGUCUGGCUCGAGGCCGGGAGAGGUGAGAGGUACUUCAGGGGUAGGGGUGAAAUCUUGUAAUCCUUGAAGGACCACCAGUGGCGAAGGCGUCUCACCAGAACGGACCUGACGGCAAGGGACGAAAGCUAGGGGCACGAACCGGAUUAGAUACCCGGGUAGUCCUAGCCGUAAACGAUACUCGCUAGGUGUCGGCAACGGUGCGACCGUUGUCGGUGCCGUAGGGAAGCCGUGAAGCGAGCCACCUGGGAAGUACGGCCGCAAGGCUGAAACUUAAAGGAAUUGGCGGGGAAGCACCACAACGGGUGGAGCUUGCGGUUUAAUUGGAUUCAACGCCGGAAAUCUUACCGGGACCGACAGCAAUAUGAAGGCCAGGCUGAAGACUUUGCCGGAUUAGCUGAGAGGUGGUGCAUGGCCGUCGUCAGUUCGUACUGUGAAGCAUCCUGUUAAGUCAGGCAACGAGCGAGACCCACGCCCACAGUUGCCAGCGUACUCUCCGGAGUGACGGGUACACUGUGGGGACCGCCGCUGCUAA
rnacentral:rRNA from 1 species